CUACGUGCCAGCAGCCGCGGUAAUACGUAGGUCCCGAGCGUUGUCCGGAUUUAUUGGGCGUAAAGCGAGCGCAGGCGGUUUGAUAAGUCUGAAGUUAAAGGCUGUGGCUCAACCAUAGUUCGCUUUGGAAACUGUCAAACUUGAGUGCAGAAGGGGAGAGUGGAAUUCCAUGUGUAGCGGUGAAAUGCGUAGAUAUAUGGAGGAACACCGGUGGCGAAAGCGGCUCUCUGGUCUGUAACUGACGCUGAGGCUCGAAAGCGUGGGGAGCGAACAGGAUUAGAUACCCUGGUAGUCCACGCCGUAAACGAUGAGUGCUAGGUGUUGGAUCCUUUCCGGGAUUCAGUGCCGCAGCUAACGCAUUAAGCACUCCGCCUGGGGAGUACGACCGCAAGGUUGAAACUCAAAGGAAUUGACGGGGGCCCGCACAAGCGGUGGAGCAUGUGGUUUAAUUCGAAGCAACGCGAAGAACCUUACCAGGUCUUGACAUCCCGAUGCUAUUUCUAGAGAUAGAAGGUUA
rnacentral:rRNA from 1 species